ACGGGAGACACACGGCGGGUGCUAACGUCCGUCGUGAAGAGGGAAACAACCCAGACCGCCAGCUAAGGUCCCAAAGUCAUGGUUAAGUGGGAAACGAUGUGGGAAGGCCCAGACAGCCAGGAUGUUGGCUUAGAAGCAGCCAUCAUUUAAAGAAAGCGUAAUAGCUCACUGGUCGAGUCGGCCUGCGCGGAAGAUGUAACGGGGCUAAACCAUGCACCGAAGCUGCGGCAGCGACACUAUGUGUUGUUGGGUAGGGGAGCGUUCUGUAAGCCUGUGAAGGUGGCCUGUGAGGGUUGCUGGAGGUAUCAGAAGUGCGAAUGCUGACAUAAGUAACGAUAAAGCGGGUGAAAAGCCCGCUCGCCGGAAGACCAAGGGUUCCUGUCCAACGUUAAUCGGGGCAGGGUGAGUCGACCCCUAAGGCGAGGCCGAAAGGCGUAGUCGAUGGGAAACGGGUUAAUAUUCCCGUACUUGGUGUUACUGCGAAGGGGGGACGGAGAAGGCUAUGUUGGCCGGGCGACGGUUGUCCCGGUUUAAGCGUGUAGGCUGGUUUUCCAGGCAAAUCCGGAAAAUCAAGGCUGAGGCGUGAUGACGAGGUACUACGGUGCUGAAGCAACAAAUGCCCUGCUUCCAGGAAAAGCCUCUAAGCAUCAGGUAACAUCAAAUCGUACCCCAAACCGACACAGGUGGUCAGGUAGAGAAUACCAAGGCGCUUGAGAGAACUCGGGUGAAGGAACUAGGCAAAAUGGUGCCGUAACUUCGGGAGAAGGCACGCUGACACGUAGGUGAAGUGAUUUACUCAUGGAGCUGAAGUCAGUCGAAGAUACCAGCUGGCUGCAACUGUUUAUUAAAAACACAGCACUGUGCAAACACGAAAGUGGACGUAU
rnacentral:rRNA from 1 species